rnacentral:sRNA from 1 species
UUUUAGCACGGAUGCGUUAGGGAUUGCAGUGGAAAUCCUUUUUUGUUUUUUUCUUUUAAAAAACAAAAAAGAUUGCAACGAAAAGCCCGACCCCUU